GACGAACGCUGGCGGCGUGCUUAACACAUGCAAGUCGAACGGCAACGCCCUGCUUUUGCGCGGUGCUCGAGUGGCGAACGCGUGAGUAUCACGUGUGUAACCUGCCCUUCACUUUGGGAUAACUUCAGGAAACUGGAGCUAAUAUCGUAUAGGAUACCCUGUUGCAUGGUAGGGGUUGGAAAGUUUCGGCGGUUGGGGAUGGACUGGCGGCUUAUCAGCUUGUUGGUGGGGUAGUUGCUUACCAAUGCUUUGACGGGUCGCCGGCCUGGGAGGGUGACCGGCCACAAUGGGACUGAGGUAGGGACCAGACGGCAACGUGAGGCAACGGUGGGAAGUAUUACACAGUGAGAGGAAGGCGGAGAAAACAACGUCGGGUGCGGGAUGACGGCUUUCGGGGUAUAAACCGCUUUAGCCUGUGACGAAGCGUGUGUGACGGUAACGGAUAAAGAAGCACCGGCUAACUACGUG
rnacentral:rRNA from 1 species